rnacentral:misc_RNA from 1 species
AACGCACAUUGCGCCCGCCAGCACUCUGGCGGGCAUGCCUGUUCGAGCGUCAUUUCAACCCUCGAGCCCCCGUGGCUCGGUGUUGGGGAUCGGCCGCCCCCCGUGGCGCGCCGGCCCCGAAAUCCAGUGGCGGCCCUGCCGUAGCGUCCUCUGCGUAGUAGCACACACCUCGCAUGUGGAACGCGGUGCGGCCACGCCGUGAAACCCCCCACGAACUGAAAGGUUGACCUCGGAUCAGGUAGGAAUACCCGCUGAACUUAA